ensembl:miRNA
CAGCUGGGCAUUUUAGCAGUCAGGUUGCUGGCUAGAGUCCAGCUAUCAGCUGGUAGCUGAUCUAGCCAUAGCCUGACAGUAAACUGCUCCAG